rnacentral:rRNA from 1 species
AUGCCUAAUCUUGGACUCAAUUUAUUGCCUGGUGUUGUCUGUGUGCUGCUGCAGGGGGCUUUGGAUGGUGGUCUUGAUAUUCAGCACAGUGACAAGAGAUUUGCUGGCUUCAAGAAGGAUGAGAAGCAGCUGGACACUGAGAUUCACCGCAACUACAUUUAUGAAGAUCAUGUUGCAGACUACAUGAAGUCGAUAGCUGAUGAGGAACCUGAGAAGUACCAAUUUCACUUUAGGGAGUACAUCAAGAAGGGGAUUGCAGCUGAUGACAUGGAAGCACUGUACAAGAAGGUUCAUGCUACCAUUCGUGCUGAUCCGACCAUGGCAAAA